CCGCCCGUCACACCAUGGGAGUUGAUUGCUCCAGAAGUGCCUGAGCUAACCGCAAGGAAGCAGGGUCCCAAGGAGUGGUUGAUGACUGGGGUG
rnacentral:rRNA from 1 species